rnacentral:lncRNA from 1 species
UCUCAAUAUCUAUCAAUCAAAGUAUUGAUCUUGUUUAAAAAUUCACAUAAUUUUUAAUAAAUAAGUUAACAACAAGCACAUAAAACUUGAAGAUAAUCACACUUAUCAAAUGGAAGAAAAAUCCUAAAAUUUGCUUGGAUGUUGAUUGGCUUCCUAUUCCAAUUUAAUUGUUGAACUUCCAAUGCCAAUAUUUUUUUUUCCAACCAUUCAAUUGUUUUCAAAUUUUACAUAUGUA